GGCGAACGGGUGAGUAACACGUGGGCAAUCUGCCCUUCACUCUGGGACAAGCCCUGGAAACGGGGUCUAAUACCGGAUAACACUCUGUCCCGCAUGGGACGGGGUUAAAAGCUCCGGCGGUGAAGGAUGAGCCCGCGGCCUAUCAGCUUGUUGGUGGGGUAAUGGCCUACCAAGGCGACGACGGGUAGCCGGCCUGAGAGGGCGACCGGCCACACUGGGACUGAGACACGGCCCAGACUCCUACGGGAGGCAGCAGUGGGGAAUAUUGCACAAUGGGCGAAAGCCUGAUGCAGCGACGCCGCGUGAGGGAUGACGGCCUUCGGGUUGUAAACCUCUUUCAGCAGGGAAGAAGCGAAAGUGACGGUACCUGCAGAAGAAGCGCCGGCUAACUACGUGCCAGCAGCCGCGGUAAUACGUAGGGCGCAAGCGUUGUCCGGAAUUAUUGGGCGUAAAGAGCUCGUAGGCGGCUUGUCACGUCGGAUGUGAAAGCCCGGGGCUUAACCCCGGGUCUGCAUUCGAUACGGGCUAGCUAGAGUGUGGUAGGGGAGAUCGGAAUUCCUGGUGUAGCGGUGAAAUGCGCAGAUAUCAGGAGGAACACCGGUGGCGAAGGCGGAUCUCUGGGCCAUUACUGACGCUGAGGAGCGAAAGCGUGGGGAGCGAACAGGAUUAGAUACCCUGGUAGUCCACGCCGUAAACGUUGGGAACUAGGUGUUGGCGACAUUCCACGUCGUCGGUGCCGCAGCUAACGCAUU
rnacentral:rRNA from 1 species